rnacentral:sRNA from 1 species
UGUGGCAAUGAUUUGCUUGGAUCCACAGGUCUUGGAGUAUGGCCGCGAACUCAUCGACAAGAAGGAGUCGGCUGGC